rnacentral:lncRNA from 1 species
UUAGAACAGAGAAGUUUCUCUGGUUGGAAGCAGAAGAGACUUGCAGCACAAGAGGCAGGAAAGAGAGGUGGCAGAAGGAGAAAUCUGAAGAAAUUCCACACGUGAGAAGGACUCAACUUGCUUUCGCUAAUUUUGAAAUGCAGGGGCCACAUGCAAGGCCUCCAGAGAAGCUUCUGGAAGCUAAGGGCAGCCCUUGGCUGACAGCCAGCAAAGGAGCCAGGCCCUCAGUCCUCGUCUGCAAGAAGCUGAAUUCUGCCUCCAGCCUGAACCAGCUCGGAAGGGGUUUAUUCCCAGAGGCUUCUGAUAACAGCCCAGCUGGCGAACACCUCGAUUUCAACCUUGUGAAACAGGGAGCAGAGAAACUAGUGAGGUCCGGGGCACACAGAGCAGCUGCUUGUCUCUGGAGUCCAGCUGUGAAGGAUUCAUGGGCGCCUUCUCCAGGGUUGCCAGCCCCAGGAUUGUUCUCCGUGAAGAUUUCUCCCAGAAUCUCAACGUGGCAAAGCUCACCAUGGGACCAUCCUUUUAGUUAGAGUUUCCAACAAAUGGGGAAGCAUUUGGCAUGCUCUUUCCAUCUUUGCUACUAUUCAUUUAGUCUUUGUCUCUGAAAUGCGUUGCCAAGAGGAAAGCUUCGUGUGUUCGUUUGUAGUGUGACAUCUUGCUUUGGAAACUUUGAGUGUGUGCAUAGGGAGGCAAAGAAAAAACGAGGCUUCACUUUUCCCCACUUUGCAUUAAUUAAAAAAAAGACUGAAAGUGAAGUUUGAGUUUUUCUUUAUUCAGAAAUUGGAAAGAAGAUUCGUAUGCAUUUUUGUUGUUGUUGUUGCAUUUUUGUUGUUGUGUUGUUGUUGGAGUAGAUGGGAGGUAGUAAGAGGUGUCAGAGACUUUCUCUUUGUUUUUAAUGUUGGUACCCGAGAGAUUAUACUCAAUGAUAGAUGAUAAAAGAAAGGGCCAGGUUUCAGGUGGAGUAAUCUUAUGAGGAUGAAGGGCCUGGAUGUCUUGUGUGGGAUAAAUGGAGGCUCUAAUCGUGAUCCGACUCACCGCUGGGGUUGGACAUAUUACGUAUAUCAAAAAAAGAUAUUAAAAUGGAGAUAAAUUUAAACCUGGUGAGAAAAAGGCAAUAAUAAGCCUUCCAAAUACCAUUUAAAAUUGCCCCACAGUGACCAUGGAGCCCUACAUAAAAGAAAUACUAUGAUCUCACUAAUUGUAAAACCUACAGUUUUAGAAAACUAAUGGAUCUUAGUGGAGAGAAAUUCAUAGCUUAAGAAUGUGACAACCACGAUAAGGUACUGAAAAGUCAGUUUCCCUAAGGCGGUUAGCGUGGACUCUGUAAUGAACUAAGUACUGGGAAACUUAAUUUGAAUUUUCCAAACUGUGUGCCCAGAGACAUAUGACUGAAACGUAUUUUCAGAAAGCUAUAAAGCAACCAUAGUUCUUGACAAGGACUAAUAGUCUGCUUUUACAAAGAACUUUUUUUUAAUCUAAGGGCUUCAGAGAACAAGCAGAGAGUCAGUUAUGCUACCAGCAUUGACACUUAGAGAGAAUGAAUGGGUCUUAGGGAACCACUGAAUCCGAAAGUUACAUUCAGUCAAGGCUCAUAUUGUUUUCUGUUUUAAUCUAGGAUUACUGUAUUUGCUUUUUUUACAGUUAGAAAAACAACUUCAAUUAUAUCUGUCAAGAAUAUGCUAAUAAUUGAAGAGUGUUUAAUAUUUUAUUUCUAAUAAUGAAAAUAUUACCAAAUUGUAUUUAUUUUUAAAGAUACUUGAAAUAAUAAAAUUCCAA